rnacentral:rRNA from 1 species
GACAGAGGUGCCAAGCGUUAGGCGGAAUCACUGGGCUUAAAGCGUGUGUAGGCGGAAUUGUAAGUACCUUGUGAAAUCCCACGGCUCAACCGUGGAACUGCUCGGUAUACUGCUUUUCUUGAGCCACUUAGGGGCUGUCGGAACAAAUGGUGGAGCGGUGAAAUGCGUAGAUAUCAGGAGGAACACCAAUGGCGAAGGCAGCUCGCUGGGACGGUACUGACGCUGAGACGCGAAAGCGUGGGGAGCAAACAGG